rnacentral:misc_RNA from 1 species
UCUGGCCGAUCUCGCCGACAGGAUCGACGAGAUUGCCACUGGAAUACCGGAGCCCACGGUGAAUUCCUGACAUGCCAUCCUUGAGGCAACCCCGCUUGACCGCGCGGCGCUGGGCGGCGGGCGAAUGUGACGCGCCUCUUUUCCGGGAUGAACCAUGACCGCUUACGACACCAACAAUAUUUUCGCGAAAAUCCUGCGCGGCGAAAUUCCCUGUCACAAAGUCUAUGA